GAAGGUGUAGCUUAAUGGUAGAGCAUAUGCUUGGCAUGCAUAAGGCCCUGGUUCAAUCCCUAGUUCA
rnacentral:tRNA from 1 species